rnacentral:rRNA from 1 species
AUUGAACGCUGGCGGCAGGCCUAACACAUGCAAGUCGAGCGGAUGAAGGGAGCUUGCUCCUGGAUUCAGCGGCGGACGGGUGGGUAAUGCCUAGGAAUCUGCCUGGUAGUGGGGGAUAACGUCCGGAAACGGGCGCUAAUACCGCAUACGUCCUGAGGGGGAAAGUGGGGGAUCUUCGGACCUCACGCUAUCAGAUGAGCCUAGGUCGGAUUAGCUAGUUGGUGGGGUAAAGGCCUACCAAGGCGACGAUCCGUAACUGGUCUGAGAGGAUGAUCAGUCACACUGGAACUGAGACACGGUCCAGACUCCUACGGGAGGCAGCAGUGGGGAAUAUUGGACAAUGGGCGAAAGCCUGAUCCAGCCGUGCCGCGUGUGUGAAGAAGGUCUUCGGAUUGUAAAGCACUUUAAGUUGGGAGGAAGGGCAGUAAGUUAAUACCUUGCUGUUUUGACGUUACCAACAGAAUAAGCACCGGCUAACUUCGUG